rnacentral:rRNA from 1 species
AGUGAACGCUGGCGGUAGGCCUAACACAUGCAAGUCGAACGGCAGCACAGUAAGCGCUUGCUCUUACGGGUGGCGAGUGGCGGACGGGUGAGGAAUACAUCGGCAUCUACUUUUUCGUGGGGGAUAACGUAGGGAAACUUACGCUAAUACCGCAUACGACCUACGGGUGAAUGCAGAGGAUCUUCGGACCUUGCGCGAUUGAAUGAGCCGAUGUCGGAUUAGCUAGUUGGCGGGGUAAAGGCCCACCAAGGCGACGAUCCGUAGCUGGUCUGAGAGGAUGAUCAGCCACACUGGAACUGAGACACGGUCCAGACUCCUACGGGAGGCAGCAGUAGGGAAUAUUGGACAAUGGGCGCAAGCCUGAUCCAGCCAUGCCGCGUGAGUGAAGAAGGCCUUCGGGUUGUAAAGCCCUGUUGUUGGGAAAGAAAAGCAGCAGGUGAAUACCCCGCUGUUCUGACGGUACCCAAAGAAUAAGCACCGGCUAACUUCGUG